rnacentral:rRNA from 1 species
UGGGGAAUAUUGGACAAUGGGCGCAAGCCUGAUCCAGCAAUGCCGCGUGUGUGAAGAAGGCCUUCGGGUUGUAAAGCACUUUUAUCAGGAGCGAAACGCUGUCGGCUAAUACCCGGCGGAACUGACGGUACCUGAGGAAUAAGCACCGGCUAACUUCGUGCCAGCAGCCGCGGUAAUACGAAGGGUGCAAGCGUUAAUCGGAAUUACUGGGCGUAAAGCGUGCGUAGGCGGUUUCUUAAGUCUGCUGUGAAAUCCCCGGGCUCAACCUGGGAAUGGCAGUGGAUACUGGGAGGCUAGAGUGUGUCAGAGGGUGGUGGAAUUCCCGGUGUAGCGGUGAAAUGCGUAGAGAUCGGGAGGAACAUCAGUGGCGAAGGCGGCCACCUGGGACAACACUGGACGCUGAGGCACGAAAGCGUGGGGAGCAAACAGGAUUAGAUACCCUGGUAGUCCACGCCCUAAACGAUGCGAACUGGAUGUUGGUCUCAACUCGGAGAUCAGUGUCGAAGCUAACGCGUUAAGUUCGCCGCCUGGGGAGUACGGUCGCAAGACUGGAAACUCAAAUGAAUUGACGGGGUCAUAGCUGUUUCCUG